CAAAAGGAAUAUGUCAGAUGAGAAACAUGCAGCCGAGUCAGAAAAAUGACUGACAAAGGUUUAUACACACCGAAAGAAAUACAUAAUUGGUAGACAGAGACUAAGUAAUUGUACAGGGACAACAUGUCGUCCUUAUUUUGCAGUAUUGCUGACAUGUUCUGUCUCAGAACAGUAUAUACAGGGAACGAGUGAUGUUUGUCAUCCCGUCUCUGAAUCUCAUAAACAUAAUUUUCCAUCGACAUCGAAACGGACCUUUUUAAUUAGUCUGUUCCAAAGAUCUCGUCAUAAUGGAGAGAAAAUCAGCCGACAGUUCUGGAGAUGUAGACAAUGGUGUCAUUGAGAUCAUUCCGAUGGAUGAAUACGACUCGCAGAAGGCCAAGUUACGAUGUUCUACCCAGUGGAUCCUACACAAGGCUUACAAGGAUGGUGUGCCGAAGGAGUUCCAUGAUCCUUUCUACACCACGCCUGAGGGGUCGAUACAUGUGAAGCCCCGCCUUGCCAACCUUAUGAUGACCAGUGAGCUGUACUGCCAAGCGUGUUCCAACAUGUUUGGGGAGUCUACCUCGCAGUGGAAAGGCCAUUGGAGUAUCAUACAAGUACUGAGCAGGAAAGGAAUCUAUGUGGGAGAGAAUGAUGACACUGAAGUCACAGAAACAAUCCUGAUGAAAAAUGCACCAUUCCAGACGAACGCCCAUGUGUCCCUAAUAGAUGCACUGAUGAUGGCGUACAUCAGUGAAGUCGUCAGCAUAGAGCGGAUUGUACAGACUGUCAGGAAAUUUGCAACUUUCAAUGCCUCCAGUGAGCUUCCCAAUGAUGUUUAUGAUGCCCUGGUGUUUUGGACCAACAAGAUUUGUGUGACAGUACAACUUAUCCUUGACAAAAAGGUCAAAGAUCAGGCUGACCAGAUCAUCCAGGGCGAGUCCCAACAGAGGGUGCGAAUUGUGAGUAAGUCGACGCCACGAGAGCCUGUGACAGUUCCGGUGAUGGAGGAUUUCCUGAGUGACGUGGGGGACGGCUGUUCUUUGGCCACACUCCUCAGCUUCUACUGUCCUACUGCCCUAAAGUUUGAUGAUAUCUGUUUGAAGUCCAGCUUAGGGAUAGCUGAUUCUCUAUACAAUUUACAACUGGUGAAGAACUUCUGUGAUAACUACAUCCCGGGCCGGUGCUUCCUGCUCGCCUAUGAGGACCUCCUGUACACGAGUGACCGUCUCAGACAGAACCUGUAUGUGAUGCUGGCUGAGCUGUUCUACUGGCUGGAAGUACAAAAACUGGACUGUGUGACGGAAUGUCCAGGCGACUCCCUCAGGGGGGAAGUUCCGAGACCUGCCACAGCAAAAUUGUUAAGUAGUGCCGGGAUAUCUAACCUGCCCAUCAGUAACGUCACAAAACAGAGCUUCCAGCGAUCACCCUCAGAGGAAAUGGGAGUAGGAAUACCAUCACCGGGGAUGGGGGCUGCUGUGCCACCACGACAACCACUGCUUCACAAACGACUUCAACAGCAGCCUCAUUAUGGCAGCGGCCCGAUAGAAACUGACCCCACACAUGAUGCCCAGUCAAAACAUGAGCAAAAGCAAGCUCGACGUUCCCUGUCACUGAGUGGACAGGAGGAGAGAGAUACCAUCCGUCAGUCUGUCUUAGCCUGGCAGGACACCCAGAAACCAAAUAGUCUGGCCGGUGACCAUGUGCGUCAGAGCCAGCUAAGCACAGGAAGCAGCAAUCUCCUGGCCAAUGUCAGCAUAGACAGUGAUCUCAACGACAGUUUUUCUGAUGACCGCUUAAGUAUGGACCUUGGUGACCUCAGUGAGAGUAACACACCCCCUCCAACAUUGUCUCAGCAUCAUGGCAUGUCUUCUGCAGCAUCAAAUCUACGAAAUCCCCAACAUCCCGAAUACAUGGAGCUUCAGAGUGUAACAUCCGGAGCCACUACACUCCGGGCAUCUCAGUCAGAGGAGGUGAAUGUCUCGCAAAAUGUGUUAAAGUCUACUGAAUCAGAGGGUAGAGUAAACCAAUCUGGCUCUGUCAAUCGUACAAGUUAUGAGCCUUUACUUCCAGCAAAAUUACGACCGGCUAAGGAGAAAUCUAAUCAUCAAAGUAAGGAAAUGGAGAGAGGUGAUAGAGAACGUAGGAAACCAGGGUCACCACCUAAGGGCAGUGUGCCGAUACGAGGUAGUCUGACAUCCAGCUUUAUAAGUGACAGUAGUGACAGUUCUCUUCGGGAUGUCGUGACCCCAUUGUCUGAAGAUCAAAUAUCUGAUUGUGCUGAUUCUCCUCGUGUGCCACCAUCGACACAACAAAAUUAUGCCGCCUUCACUGUACAGACCGAUUUGUCUCAGUCUGGCCGGCUGUCGGACCGGCCACUAGGAGAUUCAAGGUCAGAGGUCGUGAAAACCAGCUACACAAUAUCUGAUCAAGCAUUCACACCAGAAAUGGCACGAGCAGCCGGAAUACCAGUUGUCAGUGAUAGUAAUAGUAAUAGUAACUCUGUUCUUCAGCGAUGGGGGUCGCGAGAGGGAAGCAUAGCCAGUAGUCGAAGUUCGGGAGAUUAUUCAGAUCACGAAUCGCACAAAAUACAUUGUGAUCAUAAGGAUAGAGAAUCAUCUGAUUCUCGUGUUUCAAAAAAAAUGACGUCGUUGACAAAAUCUUCUUCUGGAACAGAUAAAUUAAUUAUGCAAAACAAACCUUUUGUGAUAAAAACUCAUAUACCUCCUGUGGGGGAUCAAAAACUGAGUAACACCACAAGUUUUGCCGAGAUAAAACGUAUGAAACAGAACAUUGGUCAGGUAGACAAUUCAGGAUUUGUGUAUAUGAUAAAAGGCCAGGAUCCCGUGGAAUCAAGGAAAUCAGCACUCAGUUCCCAGAGAGCAGACAGAAGUAGGCCAGAGAAAAAGACAACAUUUGCUGCUCUGCCAAAUCAAAUGACAUGGCAACAGACAUCACAACACCAGCCUGAACCUUCACCUACUACAAGCGACCACAGUCAUCUGGAGAACGGUGACGCAGUUGGGGCCGGAGCAUCAGACAUGCUCCAUAUUCGUCUAAAACUGGAAGAAAAACGUAAAAUGAUUGAGAGAAAGAAACAUCGUAUGGAAGCACAGCAUCAAAAGAUGCGUCAGAGGAUGGGUAAAACUGCCUUUUUACAAGUUAUUCAAAAGCCAGGCAGUGAUAAACCUGAGGAUGUUGCAAACGGUCGCAUUCCUGAGGUGGAAGGAGUAGGUAAUUACAGUAGUCAUACACUCCCAAGGUCAACAUUUAGUUCAACAAUGGACAGUGGUCGUCCAAGUUCACUUGACCGUGAAACAAGGUCAUUAGACCGUGACAUUCCUGGAACCAGAACAGUACAAAUUGAUCGUCAUGGUCAAGGAGACAGUUCAAGUGAGCGUGGCCAACAGAGGCCCUUCUCACGAGAGGGUAUACAACAGACAAUAGAAAAUGUGCGGAAAAAAUGGUUUAGGGAUGAUGAUGUUCUAAUUCCGUCGUCCUCAGUGUCAGAAAAUGAACAUAUAUAUAUGCCAGUAAGUCAGCCGCGGAGGAUAUCCUCACCAAGUCCCCAUCAUAGGUUGUCUCUAUCAGAGGACAGGAUGUCCCAAAGUCCUCCACAGAGAAUGUCCUUAUCAGAUGACAGGAUGUCCCAAAGUCCUAUACAGAGAAUGUCACUGUCAGAUGGUCCACCACAGAGGAUGUCCGCAAGUCCUCCUCAAAGGAUGAUGGUAUCAGGAAGUCCUCCCCAGAGAGUAGUAGCUUCUGAAAGCCCUCCAUGUCCAUCAGAGACUAGAGGGCCUCAGGAAGGCAGUGCCAAAACGGCAGAUCCCAAACAAUACAAUAAAUCUCUUGACAAGUUAAACCAAAGCCUGUGUGAUCUCCAGGGGGAAAUAAAUCGUCUCAAUCUACAACAAGGUCAACUAAAGUCUGUUAAAAUGAAUGCUGCAGCCUCCGGGUCUGUGCAUGAACGGACACGUGAACGAUCAUCUGCUUCUCCUCAUAGAGAACCAAGUGAACAGACAGGGAUUAAGUCUGAUGCUGAUGUGUCAAGGCAGACACCAGAUAGGCUUGCCCAGGGUAACUCGCAACAUCAGUCAAAAGUUCAGCAUCCAGGAUAUCCGGUGUCAACACUGUCUGGUUCUGAGGCAGCCCUGCCAACACCAGAGAGGCUCGGUAGGAUGGGAGGUGAGCACACCCAGCAUCCAACAUCUCUACAACAGCUACCAGGCUAUCAGCAACCCCAGCAUGGCGGACUACCUAUGGGGGCCUACACCUGCCAGAACCAGUAUGUGAACAUGCCACAAGCUCCUGUGAUCUACUCUGGGUAUCCUGCUCAGCCGACCCAACCCUACCCCCCACAGCAGUUCCCUCCCACACCUCCACAUGGGUAUCCACCCUCUCCAGCCUUUCCACAACAGUACCCUCAUCCACAUAUGGCCCCAGGGUCACAGUUUGGUGUGCCUAACGUGUCGUCCCCUUAUGGCAUUGGUAUGCAGCCCUUCCAGCCUCCCCCGCCCAUAGCCUCUACGUACACUGUGCCCUCCUACCACGGCGGAGUACCUAGCCAUGUUGGGGCCCAGCCGUAUCAUCCAACUUCUGUUGCUAACAUUCCAUCAAACAACAUGGCUGUCUCUGGUCAUGCAGAUGGCCCAGCCUUACCUACUGAUCUUCCCACGUCUUCUGGCGAUUCUAAAAUGAACAUGACAGAAAUGACACAGCGUAAGUCUGAUGAUCAGGAUCAUGUGACUAUGGGUGAUACCAAAUCCCAGGACGAUCACUCAGAUGACAGUGGUAGUGUGAACUCUAUGGGACAAAAUGGUGGGUUCUUUGUGUCGUUUGGGGGCGGGUCGCCUAAGAGAACCAAACCUAUGUUAGGAAAGGAGCGUGUUCGUAAGGACCAGCCGCAUCCUUUAGCCAAUCAGGACAGUGUGCCAUCUAGUCAGGCCUCUUUAGUGCCACCUGGUGGUCAAACUCGUGAUCGUAGGUCAGUUUCACCUCAACAUGCCAAAUGGAACAUUCCGUCAACAUCACCGAACCAGAAUGUGUCGCAGCCUGUGAUCGGUGGGUCAGCCUACGACCAACCUGUAGCCCCAGCUGAGCCACCUGUUGGGUUUGAAAUUGAGGUCGAAAAAGACACACAAGAACAGAUUAAUGAUGAUGAAAUGCAAAAAAGAAAAGACAAAAUCAUUCAGAUGCAGAUCAAACGCAAAGAGGAUCAAGAACGUAAACGUUCCUACAAAGAAAUGGAAAUGGCCCGCAAGAAAGAACAGGAAAGAAUAAAACAGGAGGAGAUAGAGAGGAAGAAACAGGAUGAUAAGGCAAGACGGGAACAGAUCUUUCGCCAGUAUCAGGAGAAGAAACGACAUGAGCAGGAAGAAGGCGACGAGUUUGAACGUCCGGCGCCACGUCGAGAAAAAUCUACGCCCAAACCAAGACCAAAGUCCAUGCAUGUUUCCAAAACAAAUAUAAAAACUGGUUCAGAUGAAGGUUUGCACUCAAAUAGCUCCCAAGAGGAUCUCUCUGCUCAAGCUUACACUAUUAGUCCUGGUCAUUCAGGAUCUUCGCGGGGUUAUAGACGUACGCAUGGGCUUGCACCACCCAGGGGCAAAAUGAGGAAGGCAGGUUCAUUUGAGUAUCUUGUAACACCCUGAUGACGAGCUCAGCUGAUGGCAAGGCCCUGGCCUAUGGAGGUAUCACCCACCGCAGACCACCAAGUCCAGAUUUAUACAACAGAGGAAGGAGGUCUAAGGCCACGACGGAGAGUAGCGAUACUGGCUCUAAUACCGGCUCUAACACAGGCUCAGACUA
rnacentral:misc_RNA from 1 species